GAGGUGUGUGUACCUGGUUGUUGGGGCUGAGGUUGAGUGAGGUGUGUGUACCUGGUUGUUGGGGCUGAGGUUGAGUGAGGUGUGUGUACCUGGUUGUUGGGGCUGAGGUUGAGUGAGGUUGUUGGGGCUGAGGUUGAGUGAGGUGUGUGUACCUGGUUGUUGGGGCUGAGGUUGAGUGAGGUGUGUGUACCUGGUUGUUGGGGCUGAGGUUGAGUGAGGGGUGUGUACCUGGUUUUUGGGGCUGAGGUUGAGUGAGGGGUGUGUACCUGGUUGUUGGGGCUGAGGUUGAGGGAGGUGUGUGUACCUGGUUGUUGGGGCUGAGGUUGAGUGAGGUUGUUGGGGCUGAGGUUGAGUGAGGUGU